rnacentral:lncRNA from 1 species
GUCUGGAGUCCGCUAAUUAAAAAUCAAAAUAUUACAUUCACAAAAGUAUAUUAUGCUAUAAAAUUUGAUCAUCGAUUAGAAAAUUCUACUUACCACACCCAAUAUUUUAUAGCAAACAAAACAAAACAUCACCACUUAAUGUAUUCUACGAAAUAAACUCCGGCAUUAAAAUUCAUAAAACACACACACACACACACACACACACACACACACACACACACACACACAUAUAUAUAUAUAUAUAUAUAUAUAUAUAUAUAUAUAUAUAUAUAUAUAUAUAUAUUCUGUGUGUGAUAAAAUAUUUAAUUAAUGAUAACAAAAAUAUUGUGAUAAAAGUGUCAAGAACU